rnacentral:rRNA from 1 species
CACGUAGGCGGUUACUCAAGUCAGAGGUGAAAGCCCGGGGCUCAACCCCGGAACUGCCUUUGAAACUAGGUGACUAGAAUCUUGGAGAGGUCAGUGGAAUUCCUAGUGUAGCGGUGAAAUGCGUAGAUAUUAGGAGGAACACCAGUGGCGAAGGCGGCUUACUGGACGGUAACUGACGUUGAGGCUCGAAAGCGUGGGGAGCAAACA